rnacentral:lncRNA from 1 species
GCUCAUUGAUGUCAUUGGGCAUUCAUUUCAUAUUUCUUUAAAGGGUUUGGUGAGAUGUUUGAUAUGAUUUGUUCCUUAACUGAUCAGGGUUUGAAGUGAUUCAAUAGGUACAAAAAAGUGGUUGUUUUUUAUUACAUCCAAGUGAUGUUUGGUGGAAAGAGGAAUACGACCAAUUAUAUGUUGUGGUAAUCGACCAUGACCAACAAGGGUCCUUGAUGAG